rnacentral:rRNA from 1 species
AUUGAACGCUGGCGGCAGGCCUAACACAUGCAAGUCGAACGAGUGGCGGACGGGUGUGUAAUGUCUGGGAAACUGCUUGAUGGAGGGGGUUACCUCCUGGAAACGGUAGCUACUACCGCAUACCAUCAGAUGUGCCCAGAUGGGAGUAGCUUGUUGGUGGGGUAACGGCUCACCAAGGCGACGAUCCCUAGCUGGUCUGAGAGGGAGACCAGCCACACUGGAACUGAGACACGGUCCAGACUCCUACGGGAGGCAGCAGUGGGGAAUAUUUCACAAUGGGCGCAAGCCUGAUGCAGCCAUGCCGCGUGUAUGAAGAAGGCCUUCGGGUUGUAAAGUACUUUCAGCGGGGAGGCGUUACCCGCAGAAGAAGCACCGGCUAACUCCGUGCCAGCAGCCGCGGUAAUAC